rnacentral:tRNA from 1 species
UAAAGCUUUCUUCUUUCUCAGGAA